CAACAGUUAACGACAAUAAAUGAUAUCGAAAAAUUACGUCUCACGUUUGACUUGGUCCCGGAAAUAAUGUCUGCUCCACAAAUACCACCCUAUUCCCUAUCUAGUGCACUACUUUCAACCAGGGCCCAUAGGGAAUAAGGUGCCAUUGGGGAUACAGACAAUGAUAUUUGGAGGAAGCUUCUUUUUUUUUGUUGGAAGGGAAAUCCUUCACUUUGACAAAGAGGACCAAAAGUCAAGGGUCGCGACCUUACGUGACCUUUAGGAUCCAUAACACUGACCAGGAAGUGUUUAAUUCUCACCCUUCACACUCGACGGCAGCCCCCUCUGAGUAGGACGAAGUUACGCCCCUUAGACACUGAUCUAAGAUCAGUUUUGUGUUUGUCCUCUCCCAACAGUGAAGGUUCGGGUUUAAGGAUGGGAAACUGACCCUAGAUCUCCCUUUAAGGGAUACUCUGACCUGGAGCCGGUCUUUCUCACAACACUACAGAACCACAGAGGACAGCCUACAUUCUCAAAAUAUCAAAUAAAAACAUUUAUCAAAACAAUUUCAUGGGCAUUUUACCAACCGUAGCUGUGCUUUGGAGAGAGGUCUUUCAACUCACUUAGAUACACAAAAACAAUGUGUAUAUUUGACAGAAUAUAAUCAACAACAUUUGUGUGGUUGCUAUGGCGAGGAAGUGAACUAAACACGGGGUUAGUUAAGACUAGUAGAAGGCUUUUUGGCUGGUUUGUUGACAUGACAGAAUCCUCAUGUUCUCAUUACACUGACGUUUAGAGAAGCCUGGGGACAAACCUACCUCUUUCUCCAUCCAACAUCUCACCGUUGGGGGGGAAAGGGGGGAAACACUGGUAAUAGAGUAAUUGUACUAGCCACCACCACAAGCUCAUUUUUAAACCUCUCCAUCUCGUUAGGGUUGGAGGCCUGUAUGUAUUUCUCUUCACAGUCAAACAGUUCAUGGUUGCAACACAUGGAAUCAACUAAACAGAGCUCAGAUUGCCUGAUUCAUCAACAGCUUGUUGUAUGUAGGCCUACUAGACUACAGCAACAGAGAAGAGAACAGAGAUAGUAUGAAUUGCGUUGAAGGUAAAGUUAACUGUCAAAAUAACAUUUCAUUUCAGACCAAUUCGGGAAGAAAUUAGAAUUUAAAACAAAUCGAUAAACACAUGUACAAAAACAAAAGGAGAAAAACCCCAUGUCCGAGGGGAUCCAAGAUGGCCGACAACGGUUGUUAGUUUCUAUUUCAAAUGAAGUCACUUGUGGUGCUUGAAUACAUUCAAUGCCUAGCUAAUCCUUCUGCUAUACGUGUUUUUAAUCCAUUUAUAUAUAUUUGAUAAUAACACAGACAGGAUGAUGUUAUGUUGUUGCCACUACUCCCUUAACUGCCUGACUGACUGACUAACUGACUGACUGACAAUAAUCUACUUCUCCUUUCAGCCGUCGGGGAGUGGUGUGUGUGUGCUGUGUGUGUGGCAUGUGUGCAACAGCUACCAGUGAACAGGAAAUGAAGAGAAGCUCGGCUCAGAAAGAGAGAGCAGGCCGGUUGCUUAGCAACAGGACUGUGGGGCGACCACACAGCGCCUGCGCUAAAUACCGCCACAAAAGAAGACCACAAUCUGUUUUGUUUUGAUGUUUUCAGUUACACACAGCCAGACGAACAAACCAACGAACGCAGACAAAAACACGUCUCUAGAGAGGAGAGAGGGGAGGGAGGGAGAAAGUGGGGAGGGAGGGAGAGAGAAAGAGUGGGGAGAGAUGGAGAGAGGGAGAGGGAAAGAGUGGGAAGGGAGAGAGGGGAGGGAGGGAGGGAGGGAAGGGAGAGUGAGAAAGAGACAGGGGGUAGGGAGGGAAAGAGUGGGAAGGGAGGGAGAGCGAGGGGACGGAAGGAAGGGAGAGUGAGUAAGAGAGAGGGGGGCAGGGAAGUGGGAAGGGAGGGAAAGAGUGGGAAGGGAGGGAGAGAGGGAGGGAAAGAGUGGGAAGGGAGGGAGAGCGAGCGAGGGGACGUAGGGAAGGGAGAGUGAGAAAGAGAGAGGUUGGGCAGGGAGUGAGAGAGGGAGGGAAAGAGUGGGAAGGGAGGGAGAGAGGGAGGGAAAGAGUGGGAAGGGAGGGAGAGAGGGGAGGGUGAAUAGAAAUGUGAAACAGGGAAGAAAUGCGAGUAGAGAGAGAGUGAUCUCAACCACUUCUCAGAUAGACAGAGGUGACAGCUCUCUUCUGAGCUCUGACGGCUGUCACAGAAGUGGGUUGACGUGACGGCGUGUGUGUGUAUUUAUCUCCUUGUCUGCCUGUCUGUCUGCUUGUCUGUCUGUCUGUCUCUCGUCUGUCUUUCAAAGGGACCUGCAUGUGUAGAAAUGCUACGAUCACACGCCAUCACACACAGCAUGAAUAUAACGUGGAGGGGAUAGAUGUCAAACCUGUCAGACACAAUCCAAUAACCCAGGUAUCGAAGAAAAACUAAUACUGGAAAAAUACAUAUAGAUUUCCUACCCCUAUAUUGAAAAACAAAUAUUAAAACGAUUCUCCCCUGUUUGAGAGCUUGUAGUCAGUCUCUUGUCUUGUAGUCAGUCUCCUGUCUUGUAGUCAGUCUCCUGUCUUGUAGUCAGUCUCCUGUCUUUCUCCUGUCUUGUAGUCAGUCUCCUGUCUCUCCUGUCUUGUAGUCAGUCUCCUGUCUCUCCUGUCUUGUAGUCAGUCUCCUGUCUCUCCUGUCUUGUAGUCAGUCUCCUGUCUCUCUCCCGUCUUGUAGUCAGUCUCCCGUCUUGUAGUCAGUCUCCUGUCUCUCUCCUGUCUUGUAGUCAGUCUCCUGUCUCUCUCCUGUCUUGUAGUCAGUCUCCCGUCUCUCCUGUCUUGUAGUCAGUCUCCUGUCUCUCCUGUCUUGUAGUCAGUCUCCUGUCUCUCCUGUCUUGUAGUCAGUCUCCUGUCUCUCUCCUGUCUUGUAGUCAGUCUCCCGUCUCUCCUGUCUUGUAGUCAGUCUCCUGUCUUGUAGUCAGUCUCCUGUCUCUCCUGUCUUGUAGUCAGUCUCCCGUCUUGUAGUCAGUCUCCCGUCUUGUAGUCAGUCUCCCGUCUUGUAGUCAGUCUCCCGUCUUGUAGUCAGUCUCCUGUCUCUCUCCUGUCUUGUAGUCAGUCUCCUGUCUCUCUCCUGUCUUGUAGUCAGUCUCCUGUCUCUCCUGUCUUGUAGUCAGUCUCCUGUCUUGUAGUCAGUUUCCUGUCUCUCUCCUGUCCUGUAGUCAGUCUCCUGUCUCUCUCCUGUCUUGUAGUCAGUCUCCUGUCUCUCUCCUGUCUUGUAGUCAGUCUCCUGUCUUGUAGUCAGUCUCCUGUCUUGUAGUCAGUCUCCUGUCUCUCCUGUCUUGUAGUCAGUCUCCUGUCUCUCCUGUCUUGUAGUCAGUCUCCUGUCUUGUAGUCAGUCUCCUGUCUUGUAGUCAGUCUCCUGUCUUGUAGUCAGUCUCCUGUCUCUCUCCUGUCUUGUAGUCAGUCUCCCGUCUCUCUCCUGUCUUGUAGUCAGUCUCCUGUCUCUCUCCUGUCUUGUAGUCAGUCUCCCGUCUCUCCUGUCUUGUAGUCAGUCUCCUGUCUCUCUCCUGUCUUGUAGUCAGUCUCCUGUCUCUCCUGUCUUGUAGUCAGUCUCCUGUCUCUCUCCUGUCUUGUAGUCAGUCUCCCGUCUCUCCUGUCUUGUAGUCAGUCUCCUGUCUUGUAGUCAGUCUCCUGUCUUGUAGUCAGUCUCCUGUCUCUCUCCUGUCUUGUAGUCAGUCUCCCGUCUCUCCUGUCUUGUAGUCAGUCUCCCGUCUCUCCUGUCUUGUAGUCAGUCUCCUGUCUUGUAGUCAGUCUCCUGUCUUGUAGUCAGUCUCCUGUCUCUCCUGUCUUGUAGUCAGUCUCCCGUCUCUCCUGUCUUGUAGUCAGUCUCCUGUCUUGUAGUCAGUCUCCUGUCUUGUAGUCAGUCUCCCGUCUCUCCUGUCUUGUAGUCAGUCUCCUGUCUCUCCUGUCUUGUAGUCAGUCUCCUGUCUCUCCUGUCUUGUAGUCAGUCUCCUGUCUCUCCUGUCUUGUAGUCAGUCUCCCGUCUCUCCUGUCUUGUAGUCAGUCUCCUGUCUCUCCUGUCUUGUAGUCAGUCUCCUGUCUCUCCUGUCUUGUAGUCAGUCUCCUGUCUCUCCUGUCUUGUAGUCAGUCUCCUGUCUCUCCUGUCUUGUAGUCAGUCUCCUGUCUCUCCUGUCUUAACCUAUCGGCCCAGUUGACACACUGCUAAAGGGUUGGGUUUAAAACAUGGCCCAAAAGGACAACAAAACCAAAUUCACUUCCCUUUCUUGAAUGAUAUUUCACAACCACCAGACCACGUUUACCAUACACACACUCACACACACACACACACACACACACACACACACACACACACACACACACA
rnacentral:lncRNA from 1 species